UACGGAGGGUGCGAGCGUUAAUCGGAAUUACUGGGCGUAAAGCGCGCGUAGGCGGCUAUCUAAGCUAGAUGUGAAAGCCCCGGGCUCAACCUGGGAACUGCAUUUAGAACUGGAUGGCUAGAGUACAGCAGAGGAGUGUGGAAUUUCAGGUGUAGCGGUGAAAUGCGUAGAGAUCUGAAGGAACAUCAGUGGCGAAGGCGACACUCUGGGUUGAUACUGACGCUGAGGUGCGAAAGCGUGGGGAGCAAACAGG
rnacentral:misc_RNA from 1 species